rnacentral:lncRNA from 1 species
GAACAGUAUUUAUGCUGAAAAAAAAGCCUCUCUCCCCGACCAAAAUAGUAAAACAACAACAAAAACCAAACGAACCCGCCCAGUUCUUUCUGAAUGGGAAGAUACUAAUCCGCCCUUUUGUCCCUUCCCCCAAGAACCAGCGCACCCAGGAACUGAAAAUUUAGAGAAAAGAUGCGGGGAAAGGAGGUGAGACACUGACAAUCACUAAUUAGGAAGAGAAUUAUGAAAAGGGUUGAGAGCACCGAAGAACCUCCCUUUUGAACACUGAAAAGGAGAGGUUCCCCUCCCCCCAUUCCUGAGGUGACAUUUAUUAUCACUCAUAAUUUCUCACAUUAGCUCAUUUCUGAAUCACCUCUGAUACAUAUUAGCUGUGUGACACUGGGUAAAUCAUAUAACCGCUCAGUGCUCUCUUUUAAUUGAAGAGGUGACUGAAUAGACCGAGGGAGUUUCCCCGCGUGGGGAGGUCCCUAUACCAAUGUAAUCACAGGUCUCUAGUCUCAUCCCAAUUCAUUUCUAUAACUCCUUUAUUAAGUAUUUUAUUAUAUAAGUAUAUAAGCCCCUUUAUUAAAUAUUGCAAUAGACUUUCUUUACAAAAGCUCAGUGAGGUAGGUGGUGUCAUUUUACAUAUGAAGAAACAAAGAAGUUAAGUGAAUUUCACUGGGUCACUGUCUUCAGCCUCGUAAGCUGCCUCUGUGUUGGUGGCUUACAAAACAGUCAACACUAGCUUGAUCCUCUACAGGACGCUCUGGAGGCCGCGGAGCUGCAGGACUAUGAGCCCCCUAUGAAACCGGGUAAACACAGGAGGUACUUGGCGCUAGAGAUUUAAAGCUGGAAGGGACUUUACGAGGGGAAUGAAUCUGACACAUACAGCUAGGCUCCGAGAGGUAGCCGGGGGGCAUGGCAUCUGGUGCCAAAGACAGGAACGCACGAGAGUGGCAGCGAUAUUCCCAGCAGCCUCGGCCUCGCAGAACACCCAGCAAGUAACGGCAGCGGCUUCCGGGGGUCCGGGCCCACCAGGCGGGUACAAACCUUAAGCCACCACCGUAGAGCCGCCGCUGGAGGAGUAGAAAAGAGGCUGGGUGGAGGGGGCGGAGGGAGGUGGGACCCUGGCUGGGUGGGAGGAGGAGGGCAUGUGAGGCUAAGAGGAGGAGUUCGGUCCGAUUGGCAGAUGCUCCCACCAACCCGCUGCGAGUGGGGGAGAAGCGAUGCAUAGACUGAGGAUAAAGCUUGUUGCAGCCACUCA